GUUAAAAACUGAAAAAUCAAUUUUUUGGCUGGAUCUAUGAGACAGAACAAGACCAAUAUCUCAUAACAUCAAAUGGAGUGAUGUGCCAAUCUAUAUCUAUUUAAAAUUUUAAAAAAUAUUUAAUAGGGAUAUGUCCUCUUGUUGCAAGGGCUUUUUAUAGCUUUUUUGUUGACCCAUGCACUCUUCUAGUUGGUCAAAGUGUGUAUCUGGUAAGCCCAAGUGUCCAUAGUUUGCACACGUGACCCUCUGGUAGGCCCAAGUGCUCUUCUAGUUGUCCAAAGUGUCCCUCUGGUUGGUUUAAGUGGCCCUUUGGUUGUCCCAAAUUCCUUUCCUGGUGGUUCAAGUAAACCUUUGGUUGUUGAAAAUACCCCUUUUUCUCAGCCCAAGCAUCCCUCCGGUUGGCCCAAAGUGCCCCUAGUUUGAUCUCAUGCCCUUUUUGCUUGGACCAAAGUGUUCUUCCAGCUCAAGUGAAAUUUUGGUGCUACUUCAGUAACUCUCUGGUCAGCACUUGUGUCUUUCUGGUUGGCCCAGAUCCUCUUUUGGUCGACCAUAGUCCACCUUUGGUGGCUCACGUGCCCUUUUGAUUGCUCUAAGUGGUACUUUGGUAAGCCCAAGUGACCCUUUGGUUGGCACAAGUCUCCCAAUGGUAAGCCCGGGUUACUCUGUGGUUGGUUCACAGUGCACUAUUGAUAUACCACUUUUUUUUUUUGCUCCCUGUCCCAUAGAAAGCCUGUGCAUGCCACCGAUCAGAUGAUUAAUUGCGCUCCAUUGUGUCAUUACAUCACAUCAUCAUGUACCAAAGCAAGUCCACUUUUGGGCCAACAAACGUCACUAUGAAACAACACACUUCAGGAGUGGGAAAACAGUCAAAGAGAGAAAGAUGCGGAGAGACAGAGAGAGUAAAAGAGAAACAGAUGUAGCCCAACUGUUGUGUAAGUUGAGAGGAGACAGCCGAGUCUGGGGGUGUGAUUUGUGUCCUGACGUGACCUCUCCAGCAGCACUGAUAAGACACCCAACAGGCAUGACACAAGCGCAUACUGAUCUGAUUCUUUUUUCUUUCUUUUUAUCUUGUUUCUGACCAUGCUGCUGACCAUCACUGUUCCUCCCCUUGUAAUUUAUGCAUCGCUGGAACCGAUUAUCCCCGUAUGACUUUAGCUUCCAGUGAAAACAGGGCCUGAUCUGGCCCCGGCCCCGGCCCCCGGCUUGUUGGGACAGCUGCUCAGAUGAUCUGGGCUCUCCGCAGGUUCCAUGAUUCAUUUUCUGAGUCAACACCACGGAUUUGAGCUUCAACCUCAAUGCAGUCCUGAUUCACGGACAGAUUUGUAAAUCUGAAUGAUUACUCAAUUCGAUGUGCACAACAUAAAUGCUUAGCGUGUAUCUCAUAUAGAGGCAGUGGUUUUUAUUUCCAUAUUUUUCCAGCUACGACAAACAAAAAACCAAGCUUUCUCUCAUUUUCUUUUACAACAGCUCCACAAGGCAUCUUUUUCUUCUUGUUUGUUGUCAUGAGAUUUGAGUUUUAUAAAUUAUUUUGAGAUAAUAAGGAAUUUUCUACAGUGUUUGGUGGAUAAUUAUCAGUGCUCCAGCUGACGGUCACGCAUGUGAGUUCUGUUACCUAAAAACUGCCAAUUUGUGUCAUUACUGCUGACAUAUCACACGGAAACAAAGCUGCUGCUGUGACGUUUUUGCACUGAAGGACUUCUUUAUGACUUUGGGAAGUAAGAGAAUGUCACAACACAAAAUGAAAAAGAAUUUUGUACAGAGUGUAAUAAUAUGAGCCGCUAUCUAGUUUCCUGCUUGUUAUUUUCUGCUUCUUUUUUUUUUUUUGGAUGAGGAGGUUGCGCCAAAAAAAUCCCAUUUCACUUAUUUAUUUGCCUCACAUCACAAGUAAUUUUAUCUAUUUUGUGCUUCUUGCAAUUUAAAGGGAUUUAAAUUACAUAGUAUGUGAAUGCUACAGAAAGGUUUUUUGACAGAAAUGUGAUUAUGCUCCCUGUAUGCUCUAGCUUUUCCUUUCCAAACCAAAAGGGGGUUCACUGAUUCAUGGACUAUUGUUAAAAUACACAUAACACGUUUUAGACCUAUGACGUUCCUCAUCCACAUAAAUUCCUGUCACACUGCAAAACAACAUGGCUAGUUUAUCCAAAUUACCAUGAAAAUAGAACAGGACUUGAUUAACAGUGAUGGGUACUUUGGCAAAAACAAAGUUCUUUUAAAAAUAUACUUUUACUGGAGCUAUUUUACAUAUCUCUACUGAACUCUUGACAUAACACUUUUUAUCACUCAUUACUUAUUCAAUAUUUACAAAGAAUGUACAUAAUGACUUGGAAGAAUGUGCUCUGUAGUGUGAGAAAGCACACUCCUUUUUUUUUGUCUAAGACAGGGCAUUACCAGAAAAGCUCCCAGUCACACCCAUGUGAUGAAGGAACGGGUGAAGGUUUCAGUGUGGCUGAUCUGGAUCGCUCUGGUUCUGCUCCUCACCCUGGACUGAAUUAGCAGCCCAUCUUUCAGCCGGUACCUCCCUUACCAGUCUGGCAUGGAGAGUGUGUGGGCUGGGACGGAUUAAUGAUGUCAGGCCAGCAGUUUUGUCAUAGCCACUCCCAGUCUGCGUAUAAAGCCACUAAUCACCAAUCUACCUUCAGCAGACUGCUCAGCGUUCCCUACUCAUGCUAAAUAUUAUUGUUGUGAGUUGUAGGUCUAGUGACUCAUACUUUCCAUUGAAAUCUUACUCAUUCAGCUGCUACAAUGGGAAGGAGUGGCUUUCUGCUGCCACAGUUGUACACUACACACAUUCCCACACACUUCUCUAUACAGCAAUAUUCAACUGUAGUUUAUGCUCCACAAAGGUCAGUCGAGGCCUACUUAAAAGCAGCAUUAGCCUUUACCUGAAAAUGAAUAGAGUAACCGGUUCAGAAUGAAGGAUAGCCUGCUAAUUAGAAAAGAGAUGAAGAUGUCGCUGGAAUGAUAAUCCUGUUUUUUUCAGGUUUAAUAACAUUCAUAACUGUGAUGUUUUGUGAUUUUAGUCUCUCAUGGCAAUCUGUCAGUUGAAAGCUGACAAUGGGAGCAGCUGGAGAUGGAAGGUUGGGCUUUGUUUUUUUUUAAAACAAAGGAGGUGGACAACUUGAAAGACGUAGCACUGACGAAGGCCGAUGCAUCAUGCCUUCUGUUAAAAGUUGCACGUGAACACAGCGAACGCCACAGCCGCUGGCCUGUUGGCUGCCGGCAUGCAUGUACGCUCUGUGCCCGCAUGAGAGGAAUUAACUAGUGCGUAUGUGUGCAGAGAGAUGAACAAAACAAACUGGGAAGCCACAGUUACACCACAAUAAAUUUGAUCAAGCAAGUCUCGUCAUGUGCUAAGAAUACAAAUUGCGAAUCCAUCUGUUAAAAUUUUGAUGCAUCUGGCAACUAAGUUUUUCUUUGCAGCACUGUUUGUCAACCCACGGUAUUUUGCUCGUGGAAAAAGUCGAGGUGAAGGCGUAACAUGGAGAAACUAAUGCCAAUGCCAGCUGCCUCCAACGUCAAUUCACAGUGCUCAAUCUGUUGAACGGCCUGAUGAGGACCGACUGAAGACAACCGCACCGAUCACACUGCAAACGCUUCAGUUGACCACACAUGGCCCGACGGCGCCCAACGGUUUGGUGUGCCAGGGCCCUGAAGGGUGUGAGAGUUUGUUUUAAAACCCAGAAAUCUCAGCACAGUGAGGUAAGUUUUGAGUCAUACGUACUGACGAGCAACCAAGUCAAAUCCUGACAGACACAUUAUGCCCUGCUCAUUUUGCGUUAUGGGACAGUGAAAAUGACACAUAUUCCACAUUUAAAAUGACACAUAUUCCACAUUUAAGCUGCUGCUAUUUUGCUUGCUCUGCUGUCAAGGAAAACAUCUACUUAAUGCUUGUGUGUGUGUCUCUGUCACUUGCUAAGCUUUCUUGGUGUGGGUGUGUGUGUGUUUGAGUGCACACUAUGGGGAGUCAGCAUACAGGCCCACUUCACGUGGUUCGGAAGGUGAAGGGCUAUUAGGGGAAAGGUGAGUAUGGGACUGCUGCUCUGGGUUACUCAGUAACUGGGGCUCUCUCCUUCCCCUCUCAGGCCUCUAGUGCUGUUUCUGUGCAACCACCCCCACUCCUGCCACCAUGCACAUACAAACACGCUUUCCUCACGUUCUUUCUCUAAAAGACGAAAUAAUGAAGCAAUACUCUAGUUCUCAAGUUGAUUUUCCCAUUGGAAAACCUCAUGUGUAUAGAUAUCCGAACCACAAACUUAUUUACAAACGUAAUUAAAGGCUCAGAAUUACCCCAAUAACUCAUUACAGAAUAAAUAAAUGAAUGCCUCUUUAGAAUAAUUUAAGCUAACAAAAAAAAAAAUCACCAAAACUGAGAUACUCCGUAUGCCAACAGGGCAGAUUUGGUGAAAUAUCUGCAAAUACUGAAGGUAAAACUCUGUUAAUAAUAGCUUUUGUUGGUAGUUAGCUACCAGUUAUGGUACAGUCCCUACAUAAAUCAGAAAUACCACAUAUUGUUAUACUUAUACAGUCUAGGCUGCUCAGAAAUGCCAUUAUUUGGUGUGUAAAUGCUUCUUGUUCUAGGGUGCUCAGUUUGCCUUCAGGCGGUUGAAGCUUCAAGCUAGAAAUAACAGAGUCUGUGAGACAGAGGCUACAUACAAAUCAUUGAUCUCAUCUGUUUACCAUAAAUAUACAAAAGUAGUGUAAUUGAUGUGAGGAUGAGAUACGCAUGCUCAACUUUAAACUAACACCACAGUGAUGCAGUACAGAACCAAAGCGGAUGUUGCCACCUUUAACUGGACCACAGCCUCCCACUAUUGCGUCACCUUCCAGGCACUCUGGCGUCAAAACACAGCCGUGUGUAAUGCAGCUAUAGCUUGUGCUCAUAUGCGUGUUUGUUUACUGUCCCUGAGCGGGGACACAUGAAAGUGGGGCGACAGGGUAGGUGGCCGUGACCCCGGCGACAAGAACAACCCCUGUCCAUAUAAUUGCUGCCUUUCUUCCUCUCCCGCGCACACACACACGCGCACACACAGCUCGGCCCUGUUCUUUCGCCUCAGGAUGGGAGUCACGGGACUGUGCUUUGAAGAAGCGCACAGCACAACCACAUUCGAUCCAAUGGGAACGAAGACAGUGCUCUCUGUGUGAGUAAUGAUUGACAGCAUGUUGGAUUACUCAGAGGCAUUAGUCAUGGUGAAUUUGUUACAUGUUCUUGUUCUCUAUUCUGCUAGUGUGAAUAGGUCUGUCUGUCUGAUUUGGUUGUGUGCUGUGGCAAACCUGGUGAUUUUUAAAAAGUUUGGCAAAAAAGGCAUCUAAAUGUUCUUCAGUUUGAAAUAUACACGAAUUAUCAUGGUAAGUAAACACACAUCUCUGACUACCAGUAGGUUCCAAUAAAUCUUCAUCAAAAACCCUUUUGUGAUGCACUGCUUUGUAAAAUAUAUUAUGUUAAUAGGGAAAAUCACCCUAAUCAGAAUUUCACAGACCUUCCAAAACUUCCAAACUGCCUCAAAAGUCAGCAUUUACAGCUUGUGCGUAAAAUAUUUUUCAUGGGUGACUAAAAUCCAAUAACAACACAGGACAAAUCUGGUCAUUAGUGAAACAAUUCGGAAAUCACUGAACGUGCUGUGUGUGGCUCUGGGACUGUACAAAGUGUUCAUACCAGCAAAAGCAAACAUGUUUCUGCUGGGAGGAAAAGCUUACACAAUGAAGUAUCACAGCCACACGCAAUACUGUACAAGGAUUCUGGGGCACCAUCGGGGGGUCCAACCUUUUCCAACAGCGUGAGGGCAAGGCAGCUCCAUCAUUGGCUAACUUUUGGCUGGAGAGAGCCAGUCAUCUCUGCGCUCUCCUCUCAUCCCACAACUAACCAAACACUGUGCUGUUAGCGUCUCUGAUAUGCUUUGUUUAUCAGGCCACCUGGACAUGCAUCUGGUCAGCCAGGGAGUAUGCCUGUCAAUAGCAGUGCCAGAUGGACGUGCAUUAAUAACUGUAUCUUAUGUGUCAAAAGCACAAGCUGCAAAUGCUGACUUUUGAGGCAGUUUGGAAGUUUCCGAAGGCCUGUGUUGUGUUGGGAUCACUGAAUGAAAUGCUGAUUAGGGUGAUGAGAACAGCAGAGAAUCGGAGAAGAAAAUUAAUUACAGUGCACUUGUGUUGGAGGUCAGUACUUCACAGUGCCCCCCUUCCUGUGCUAAUAGACAAAUUACGUAAUAGCCUCUAAAGAGAGAGAGAGAGAGGUUUGACAUAAGGUAACCUUUCCAAAUAAUAAAAGCGAUGUGGAGAAAUAAUCAUGAGUACCAUUGAUAUGAGGCAAGAGAUAUCUGAGCUUCAUAAUAAGAUAGAUGUACACGCCCUGUACUUGAAGCUGCUAGUGGACAAUGCAUGGAGAGCAUAUUACAUCAUGUCUUUAUUCUAAUGGGUUUAAUAAGGUAUGUCGGGAUAGGGAGAUGAGAAGCUCAAUUCAAACCAACAAUUUGGCUGAGGUGAUGAAAUCCAGAAACAAAGCGUUCUCCAAGUAUUGACUAAGACCAUGUUACGUAUAAUGACUGAUAAAUUAGAUUUCCGGGCAUAAACACAUCUCCUCUUGCAGAAAGUUUGUGUUGAAUGUUUAACAAGGGGGAAGGUCAUGAUGCAACUGACCAUAAUCUGCGAGGACAGCACAGUUUAUGAAAUGAAGCCUAAUCAAAACAGAUAACACAUUAACGUUGUACAUCUCACAGUGUUUCUACUUAGUGCUUUAGUGGCACAAAGUCCAGUAUUUCGUCAUUGAUUUCUUAACGACUUCCUAUCGGACAGGACAUCUGUGUGGGAAGAUUGGAGCAGGAAAGUAGAAAAAGGCAUUUUGCCUGAACCACGGAGUCACUAGUAGAGAAACAUACCAGCAGUGUUAAAGGUUUUUGCCUAAGCUCAGCAUAAUCCAAAUUCCCUUGAAGCUGCUGUUUAUCAUUUUAGUCCACCUGGGAUAACCAAUGUGGACUUUGUUUGUAUUGAUCUAUUCACUCUACAUAUUUCCAUUCUAAUAUUAUGUCCUUGCUACACGUAAGAGCUCAAUUAGAACUACUUUGUUAGACUAUAAAUAAAUCUGUUAGUUGUUCUGAAGCUCUGUGCUUGAAGGUGGAGAGAAAAGCCAGGUCUCAUGGAGAAGUACUGUUUGAAUACGGGGAUAACGGCAGUUAUUAUUUCACACAAAUGCAAGAAAUACUGUAUCAAGGGUAUAUUUAUUAUCCAUGAAGGGCAAUUCUUGUACAGCCAGCAGUAUAUACAUAUUCAACAUCACCAGACAACAAACAAUAGACAACAACCAGUGAACAACAACCAGAUUUCACCGAGUCAUAAACUGGUUUCUAGAUGUAUGCAGACGAUGCCGUUUUAAUUGUAUCUGCAAGAAAGAAUAUAUACUCAAUUUCCACGCAACCAUCAGAGCAUUUCAUAUUUAGGUACUUUUGGGUACUUUAAGGACUAGUGUGUAGGAUUUAGUGUCAUCUAGCAGUGUAACUGCAGAUUGCAACUCCCUUGCUUCACCCUCCCCUUCCUAGUGCGAAGGGGAAGCUACAGCAGUCGCAAAACUUAUUACGCUAUGUAGAGCCAGUGUUGUGUUUGUCUGUUCUGGGCUACUGUAGAAACAUGGUUCAACAUGGAGGCCACUGUAUCAAAUGUAUUUUUUAUAUAGCCUAUCUAA